rnacentral:lncRNA from 1 species
GGAUUUGGUAGGGUCUACUGGGGAUGCCUACAAAAGCAGCUAAUCAGUGUCAGGUAUUUUGAAAGUCGUUAAGUUUGCAUCAUAGAAGAUGAUUAUUUAUUAAAUGUUCAUGCAGAAAGCAACAAGUUCCAAAGGAAACUUGCCGAGGCGAUUGGCUCUGGGGCAGAUGCGUUCUGCAGUGGAGCGGCGGGAUCAGGACAGGCAGGGCUUUUUUUCCAGCAUUGAGGCCACUGGAGGGAGCUGCCAGGACCCGGCAGCCCUCGCGAGGGAGGCUGACGAGGCGUAGGCGGAGCCAGCAGCGCCCCCUCCCGGGCCGUUCAAAAGCAGCCCCUAGGGAGCACGACCAAUCAGUCGCACGGCAAUUCGCGCAGGCAGGGCGAGCUGGGAGGGCAGAGCGUUCCCUCCCGCCCAUACGAACAACUCCUCUAACGGCUGUCCACCGCCAGGAUAUCAGGUACCCUCCUGUUAGUAAAGAAAACAGACUAGUUUGAACCAUUCAUCUUCAUUUGAAAGGUAAAGACUGUUAAAAGUCCUUAAAGCAAUUUACUGGAAAGAUGGAGGAAGGUAUUUCUCUCAGAAAAUCAGGAAUUCAUAAUAACAGGAAGGGUUAAUUUCACGGGGACAUUGCAGUGACAUUGACAUUUUAGUUUAUGUUUGUCAUCAUUCUGGCAAUUGAAGAAAUGCCUUCAUUUAAAAAAGAAAAAAAAAAAAAGAAAAAAAAUGAAAAAAAAAGAGAAAAGGAAAAAAAGAGGAGAGGAGAGGAGAGGAGAGGAAAGGAGAGGAGAGGAG